rnacentral:tRNA from 1 species
UGGCAGGGUGGGGAAGAGGUCAUCCCAUCUGGUUCAUACCCAGAAGAUCGCAGGUUCAAAUCCUGCCCCUGCAA